UACGAAGGGGGCUAGCGUUGUUCGGAAUUACUGGGCGUAAAGGGCGCGUAGGCGGCUUGAAUCGUCGGAUGUGAAAGGCCUGGGCUCAACCUGGGAACGGCAUCCGAUACGGUCAGACUUGAGUGUGGGAGAGGUUGGUGGAAUUCCCAGUGUAGAGGUGAAAUUCGUAGAUAUUGUGAAGAACACCGGUGGCGAAGGCGGCCAACUGGACCACAACUGACGCUGAGGCGCGAAAGCGUGGGGAGCAAACAGG
rnacentral:rRNA from 1 species